rnacentral:rRNA from 1 species
GUGGGGAAUUUUGGACAAUGGGCGCAAGCCUGAUCCAGCAAUGCCGCGUGCAGGAAGAAGGCCUUCGGGUUGUAAACUGCUUUUGUACGGAACGAAACGGUCCGGGUUAAUACCCUGGGCUAAUGACGGUACCGUAAGAAUAAGCACCGGCUAACUACGUGCCAGCAGCCGCGGUAAUACGUAGGGUGCAAGCGUUAAUCGGAAUUACUGGGCGUAAAGCGUGCGCAGGCGGUUUUGUAAGACAGGCGUGAAAUCGCCGGGCUCAACCUGGGAAUUGCGCUUGUGACUGCAAGGCUGGAGUGCGGCAGAGGGGGAUGGAAUUCCGCGUGUAGCAGUGAAAUGCGUAGAUAUGCGGAGGAACACCGAUGGCGAAGGCAAUCCCCUGGGCCUGCACUGACGCUCAUGCACGAAAGCGUGGGGAGCAAACAGGAUUAGAAACCCUGGUAGUCC